AUUGAACGCUGGCGGAAUGCUUUACACAUGCAAGUCGAACGGUAGAGGGGGCAACCCCUCGAGAGUGGCGAACGGGUGAGUAAUAUAUCGGAACGUGCCCAGUCGUGGGGGAUAACGUAGCGAAAGUUACGCUAAUACCGCAUACGAUCUAAGGAUGAAAGCGGGGGAUCGCAAGACCUCGCGCGAUUGGAGCGGCCGAGAUCAGAUUAGGUAGUUGGUUGGGUAAAGGCUCACCAAGCCAACGAUCUGUAGCUGGUCUGAGAGGACGACCAGGAACACUGGAACUGAGACACGGUCCAGACUCCUACGGGAGGGAGCAGUGGGAGAUGUUGGACAAUGGACGCAAGUCUGAUCCAGCCAUUCCGCGUGCAGGAUGAAGGCCCUCGGGUUGUAGACUGCUUUUGUACGGAACGAAGAGGUCUCUCUUAAUACGGGGGGCUCAUGACGGUACCGUAAGAAUAAGCACCGGCUAACUACGUGCCAGCAGCCGCAGUAA
rnacentral:rRNA from 1 species